AACCUUACCAGGUCUUGACAUCCCCUGACUAACCCGAGAGAUCGGCGUUCCCUUCGGGGGACAGGGUGACGAGGUGGUGCAUGGUUGUCGUCAGCUCGUGUCGUGAGAUGUUGGGUUAAGUCCCGCAACGAGCGCAACCCUCGACCUUAGUUGCCAGCAUUCAGUUGGGCACUCUAAGGUGACUGCCGGCUAAAAGUCGGAGGAAGGUGGGAUGACGUCAAAUCAUCAUGCCCCUUAUGACCUGGGCUACACACGUGCUACAAUGGUUGGUACAACGAGUUGCGAGUCGGUGACGGCGACGCUAAUCUCUUAAAGCCAAUCUCAGUUCGGAUUGUAGGCUGCAACUCGACCCCAUGAAGUCGGAGUCGCUAGUAAUCGCAGAUCAGCAACGCUGCGGUGAAUACGUUCCCGGGCCUU
rnacentral:rRNA from 1 species